UUCGUGUCACAAAGUGAACCUCAAUUGAGAAUUUGGUGAAACCAAGUGUUAUUUUUUUUUUCUUAAUUUCCCCUAAAAAAAUUGUAAAAGCCUAACAUUUGACAUUUUGUCGGCUCUUCUUUCACAUGAAUCAAUUGAAGCGCAAAUGGGAGAUGGGAGGAAGAAUCUGAUGAUUGGAUUUUGAUUCCUAGAUUAUUCUAAUUUCUUCUCUUUCUACUAAAAUAUAUAAAAAUUCUAAUUUCUUCUCUUUCUACUAAAAUAUAUAAAAAUUCUAAUUUCUUCUCUUUCUACUAAAAUAUAUAUAUAAUUAUUUGUUAAAUUUCAUGAUCUCAGUCGUAAUUCCACUGUUUGAAAUCUAAUUAUCCGCCGAUCUGCUCAACUUCAGACCCAGUUACCUCUCUCUCUCUCUCUCUCUCUCUCUCUACGAUUUCAAGAACAAGGAAGCAGUUUGAACUGAUUUGCUUGAAUAACAGAGCAGAUAUGUCUCCUUCAAAUGGCAGUUCAUCAGGAGGAGGAAUUGCUAAUACUAGUAAGAAUUUCAUACAGCAUCAGGUCUCCAAGAUGGACACUCUCGCUGGUGUGGCCAUCAAGUAUGGCGUUGAGGUGGCUGACAUCAAAAGGAUGAAUGGGUUGGCCACCGACCUUCAAAUGUUUGCUUUAAAGACGUUGCUGAUACCAUUACCAGGAAGACAUCCCCCAUCUCCCACGUUGUCCACUACUUCUGCUUCUCCAGGAGGGAACAACCUUGAUAAAACACCACCACGUCCUUGCUACUCCAAUGGGUUGGAAUCAUUUGAGUCCUUAAGAUUGAAAUCAGCCCAACAGAAGGUUUCUCCAGCUAUGAGCACUUUACAGAAGUACUAUGGUCUCAAAUCUUCAAAUCAUAUGGGUGCAGCUGGAGGCACAGGAGUGGCAGUUCACAGAACAGGAAGCUCAGAUUCCCUAACUGAGGGGCUAUCGUCUAGAACCACACCAAUCUAUGAGUCUCCAUACCACAAUCUCAAAUCACAGAAUUUUGCUAAUGGUUUAACCCCUGAGGAUGGUACUGUGGUAGAUUACAUGCCUCUUGCAGAUGCUGGAGAUGCAGAAGGUGACAAGUCCAAUGAGAAGUCUGUCAGGAGACGCCAGAAAUCUGAAGCAGAUUUUAGAACUGGAAAACCAGAAAGGUUGCUGAAGGAAGAGAACAGUGGUGGAAGCAGUGAUUUCUCAACUGUAGCAGGAAAGGGUUUAGCUAUGAGACCAAAAUCAGCGAGCCGAACAGUGCUCUAUGCUGAAUCAGAGCCGGGAUGGUUAAAUUCUAUACCAGUGGGUUUGGGAGAUUCUUUUAUUUCUGAUGGACUACUGACUGGAGUUCGUAAAUCAUCAAGUACACCAAGUCUGCUUGACCAAGACGACAAUAAUACUUCUUCUGUUUGGCCAACUUCUAAGUGGAGUUUGAAACAUGACCUGCAGGCUCUCUCAUCUGCAGCAAUAAAUAUACCUAUAUUUGAUGGUUUACCAAAGCCAAUAUCUGGACGGAAGAGCAAAGCUGCCCUUGAUUAGCCUGAUGUUUUGCAAUCUGAUGGAGAUUUUUUGUUCUAUAUUUAUAAUCUAAUGGGAAUGGAACGUCACAGCCACUCACUGCCAUGUGUCAUGUAGCUGCAAAGGGCAAUUGAAAGAGAAAGGCCAGGAAUAUUAUAUAAAAAUUGUUGAAAAGGAUAUUGAGAAGCGUAAGGAACACUGAGUCAGGGCCAAGAGGCAUAUAUCAGAGGUAGACAGACGGAUAGAGCAGCAGAGUAGGCUACUUAUGCUACAUUUUGAGAUUUCGCCCGUAUAUUGAGUAUACCAUAUUUUGUAGUUUAUGUUGUAAUGUAUGUGCUCUGUAUGUAUAUUGUACUUGGUCUUGAGCAGUUGUAAACUAAAAUUGUAAAUUAUUUUGGCCUGUAAAAAUAUUGUGAUAUAUUUAUAUUAUCUCAGCUUUUAGAAAUACUGGAAAAUUGAUGUUGAACUGUGUAACACCCCGAACCUCCGAGUUAUGAAUAGUACCAUUUUUUGUCUGUGACUA